rnacentral:rRNA from 1 species
AGAGUUUGAUCCUGGCUCAGAACGAACGCUGGCGGCAGGCUUAACACAUGCAAGUCGAACGCACCGCAAGGUGAGUGGCAGACGGGUGAGUAACGCGUGGGAACCUACCCUUUGGUUCGGAAUAACCCAGGGAAACUUGGGCUAAUACCGGAUACGCCCUUCGGGGGAAAGAUUUAUCGCCAUAGGAUGGGCCCGCGUCGGAUUAGCUAGUUGGUAGGGUAACGGCCUACCAAGGCUACGAUCCGUAGCUGGUCUGAGAGGAUGAUCAGCCACACUGGGACUGAGACACGGCCCAGACUCCUACGGGAGGCAGCAGUGGGGAAUAUUGGACAAUGGGCGAAAGCCUGAUCCAGCCAUGCCGCGUGAGUGAAGAAGGCCUUAGGGUUGUAAAGCUCUUUCAGCGGGGAAGAUAAUGACGGUACCCGCAGAAGAAGCCCCGGCUAACUUCGUGCCAGCAGCCGCGGUAAUACGAAGGGGGCUAGCGUUGUUCGGAAUUACUGGGCGUAAAGCGCGCGUAGGCGGAUCAGUAAGUCAGGGGUGAAAUGCCGAGGCUCAACCUCGGAACUGCCUUUGAUACUGCUGAUCUGGAGUACGGGAGAGGUGAGUGGAAUUCCGAGUGUAGAGGUGAAAUUCGUAGAUAUUCGGAGGAACACCAGAAGCGAAGGCGGCUCACUGGCCCGAUACUGACGCUGAGGCGCGAAAGCGUGGGGAGCAAACAGGAUUAGAUACCCUAGUAGUCC